rnacentral:rRNA from 1 species
AUUGAACGCUGGCGGCAGGCCUAACACAUGCAAGUCGAACGAGUGGCGGACGGGUGAGUAAUGUCUGGGAAACUGCCUGAUGGAGGGGGAUAACUACUGGAAACGGUAGCUACUACCGCAUACCAUCAGAUGUGCCCAGAUGGGAUUAGGUGGUUGGUGGGGUAACGGCUCACCAAGGCGACGCUCCCUAGCUGGUCUGAGAGGAUGACCAGACACACUGGGACUGAGACACGGUCCAGACUCCUACGGGAGGCAGCAGUGGGGAAUAUUGCGCAAUGGGCGCAAGCCUGAUGCAGCCAUGCCGCGUGAAUGAAGAAGGCCUUCGGGUUGUAAAGUUCUUUCGGCGGGGAGGCGUUACCUACAGAAGAAGCACCGGCUAACUCCGUGCCAGCAGCCGCGGUAAUUC